rnacentral:rRNA from 1 species
UUAAGUUAUUAAGGGCGCACGGUGGAUGCCUUGGCACUAGAAGCCGAUGAAGGACGUUACUAACGACGAUAUGCUUUGGGGAGCUGUAAGUAAGCUUUGAUCCAGAGAUUUCCGAAUGGGGAAACCCAACAUGAGUUAUGUCAUGUUAUCGAUAUGUGAAUACAUAGCAUAUCAGAAGGCACACCCGGAGAACUGAAACAUCUUAGUACCCGGAGGAAGAGAAAGAAAAAUCGAUUCCCUUAGUAGCGGCGAGCGAAACGGGAAGAGCCCAAACCAACAAGCUUGCUUGUUGGGGUUGUAGGACACUCUAUACGGAGUUACAAAGGACGACAUUAGACGAAUCAUCUGGAAAGAUGAAUCAAAGAAGGUAAUAAUCCUGUAGUCGAAAAUGUUGUCUCUCUUGAGUGGAUCCUGAGUACGACGGAGCACGUGAAAUUCCGUCGGAAUCUGGGAGGACCAUCUCCUAAGGCUAAAUACUCUCUAGUGACCGAUAGUGAACCAGUACCGUGAGGGAAAGGUGAAAAGCACCCCGGAAGGGGAGUGAAAUAGAACCUGAAACCGUGUGCUUACAAGUAGUCAGAGCCCGUUAAUGGGUGAUGGCGUGCCUUUUGUAGAAUGAACCGGCGAGUUACGAUUUGAUGCAAGGUUAAGCAGUAAAUGUGGAGCCGUAGCGAAAGCGAGUCUGAAUAGGGCGUUUAGUAUUUGGUCGUAGACCCGAAACCAGGUGAUCUACCCUUGGUCAGGUUGAAGUUCAGGUAACACUGAAUGGAGGACCGAACCGACUUACGUUGAAAAGUGAGCGGAUGAACUGAGGGUAGCGGAGAAAUUCCAAUCGAACCUGGAGAUAGCUGGUUCUCUCCGAAAUAGCUUUAGGGCUAGCCUCAAGUGAUGAUUAUUGGAGGUAGAGCACUGUUUGGACGAGGGGCCCCUCUCGGGUUACCGAAUUCAGACAAACUCCGAAUGCCAAUUAAUUUAACUUGGGAGUCAGAACAUGGGUGAUAAGGUCCGUGUUCGAAAGGGAAACAGCCCAGACCACCAGCUAAGGUCCCAAAAUAUAUGUUAAGUGGAAAAGGAUGUGGCGUUGCCCAGACAACUAGGAUGUUGGCUUAGAAGCAGCCAUCAUUUAAAGAGUGCGUAAUAGCUCACUAGUCGAGUGACACNUCGAUUCCCUUAGUAGCGGCGAGCGAAACGGGAAGAGCCCAAACCAACAAGCUUGCUUGUUGGGGUUGUAGGACACUCUAUACGGAGUUACAAAGGACGACAUUAGACGAAUCAUCUGGAAAGAUGAAUCAAAGAAGGUAAUAAUCCUGUAGUCGAAAAUGUUGUCUCUCUUGAGUGGAUCCUGAGUACGACGGAGCACGUGAAAUUCCGUCGGAAUCUGGGAGGACCAUCUCCUAAGGCUAAAUACUCUCUAGUGACCGAUAGUGAACCAGUACCGUGAGGGAAAGGUGAAAAGCACCCCGGAAGGGGAGUGAAAUAGAACCUGAAACCGUGUGCUUACAAGUAGUCAGAGCCCGUUAAUGGGUGAUGGCGUGCCUUUUGUAGAAUGAACCGGCGAGUUACGAUUUGAUGCAAGGUUAAGCAGUAAAUGUGGAGCCGUAGCGAAAGCGAGUCUGAAUAGGGCGUUUAGUAUUUGGUCGUAGACCCGAAACCAGGUGAUCUACCCUUGGUCAGGUUGAAGUUCAGGUAACACUGAAUGGAGGACCGAACCGACUUACGUUGAAAAGUGAGCGGAUGAACUGAGGGUAGCGGAGAAAUUCCAAUCGAACCUGGAGAUAGCUGGUUCUCUCCGAAAUAGCUUUAGGGCUAGCCUCAAGUGAUGAUUAUUGGAGGUAGAGCACUGUUUGGACGAGGGGCCCCUCUCGGGUUACCGAAUUCAGACAAACUCCGAAUGCCAAUUAAUUUAACUUGGGAGUCAGAACAUGGGUGAUAAGGUCCGUGUUCGAAAGGGAAACAGCCCAGACCACCAGCUAAGGUCCCAAAAUAUAUGUUAAGUGGAAAAGGAUGUGGCGUUGCCCAGACAACUAGGAUGUUGGCUUAGAAGCAGCCAUCAUUUAAAGAGUGCGUAAUAGCUCACUAGUCGAGUGACACUGCGCCGAAAAUGUACCGGGGCUAAACAUAUUACCGAAGCUGUGGAUUGUCCUUUGGACAAUGGUAGGAGAGCGUUCUAAGGGCGUUGAAGCAUGAUCGUAAGGACAUGUGGAGCGCUUAGAAGUGAGAAUGCCGGUGUGAGUAGCGAAAGACGGGUGAGAAUCCCGUCCACCGAUUGACUAAGGUUUCCAGAGGAAGGCUCGUCCGCUCUGGGUUAGUCGGGUCCUAAGCUGAGGCCGACAGGCGUAGGCGAUGGAUAACAGGUUGAUAUUCCUGUACCACCUAUAAUCGUUUUAAUCGAUGGGGGGACGCAGUAGGAUAGGCGAAGCGUGCGAUUGGAUUGCACGUCUAAGCAGUAAGGCUGAGUAUUAGGCAAAUCCGGUACUCGUUAAGGCUGAGCUGUGAUGGGGAGAAGACAUUGUGUCUUCGAGUCGUUGAUUUCACACUGCCGAGAAAAGCCUCUAGAUAGAAAAUAGGUGCCCGUACCGCAAACCGACACAGGUAGUCAAGAUGAGAAUUCUAAGGUGAGCGAGCGAACUCUCGUUAAGGAACUCGGCAAAAUGACCCCGUAACUUCGGGAGAAGGGGUGCUCUUUAGGGUUAACGCCCAGAAGAGCCGCAGUGAAUAGGCCCAAGCGACUGUUUAUCAAAAACACAGGUCUCUGCUAAACCGUAAGGUGAUGUAUAGGGGCUGACGCCUGCCCGGUGCUGGAAGGUUAAGAGGAGUGGUUAGCUUCUGCGAAGCUACGAAUCGAAGCCCCAGUAAACGGCGGCCGUAACUAUAACGGUCCUAAGGUAGCGAAAUUCCUUGUCGGGUAAGUUCCGACCCGCACGAAAGGCGUAACGAUUUGGGCACUGUCUCAACGAGAGACUCGGUGAAAUCAUAGUACCUGUGAAGAUGCAGGUUACCCGCGACAGGACGGAAAGACCCCGUGGAGCUUUACUGUAGCCUGAUAUUGAAAUUCGGCACAGCUUGUACAGGAUAGGUAGGAGCCUUUGAAACGUGAGCGCUAGCUUACGUGGAGGCGCUGGUGGGAUACUACCCUAGCUGUGUUGGCUUUCUAACCCGCACCACUUAUCGUGGUGGGAGACAGUGUCAGGCGGGCAGUUUGACUGGGGCGGUCGCCUCCUAAAAGGUAACGGAGGCGCUCAAAGGUUCCCUCAGAAUGGUUGGAAAUCAUUCAUAGAGUGUAAAGGCAUAAGGGAGCUUGACUGCGAGACCUACAAGUCGAGCAGGGUCGAAAGACGGACUUAGUGAUCCGGUGGUUCCGCAUGGAAGGGCCAUCGCUCAACGGAUAAAAGCUACCCCGGGGAUAACAGGCUUAUCUCCCCCAAGAGUUCACAUCGACGGGGAGGUUUGGCACCUCGAUGUCGGCUCAUCGCAUCCUGGGGCUGUAGUCGGUCCCAAGGGUUGGGCUGUUCGCCCAUUAAAGCGGUACGCGAGCUGGGUUCAGAACGUCGUGAGACAGUUCGGUCCCUAUCCGUCGUGGGCGUAGGAAAUUUGAGAGGAGCUGUCCUUAGUACGAGAGGACCGGGAUGGACAUACCUCUGGUGUACCAGUUGUCGUGCCAACGGCAUAGCUGGGUAGCUAUGUGUGGACGGGAUAAGUGCUGAAAGCAUCUAAGCAUGAAGCCCCCCUCAAGAUGAGAUUUCCCAACUUCGGUUAUAAGAUCCCUCAAAGAUGAUGAGGUUAAUAGGUUCGAGGUGGAAGCAUGGUGACAUGUGGAGCUGACGAAUACUAAUCGAUCGAAGACUUAAUCAA